GCUGUGGGUUGUACAUAAACACUAAUUGAUUCAUUGUGAACAUCAAACUAGUCAAACUACACUACAGGAUCUCUGAAUGUGCCACCAACAGGAAUCUGAGCUACAUGUUGACAGCAGCUGUAAAACCUGGACUACAGGUCAUCACAUUCAGGGCCUCCUCUCCACGUUGUAGCUUUCAGCUGCUUCUCCUUCCGCUCAUAGGGUGAUGGUGGUGUUCCUCGUACCGGUGUCACGUUCUGGCAGGUGUUUCCAGUAACUCAUAGUGGAGCAGCAUCACAGCUGAACACAGUGAGUCACUGCUCUCCACUUCGUGUGAUGUGACGACUGAUGUGGGUUUAGGCCCAUCCUAAACAAACCCCGAGCAGAGAAGACGCGUCGGACGCACGGGAGCUGCUCCACAUCUGCCAGACGUGGUGUCUGUCACAUUAUGCAAAUACGAAAAUCUGAAUCUCUGGUUUCUAUGGCAACAUGACAGAAACCGUCUCCUUGUGCUAAUAAGACGUCUUGUGCACAUCUGCCAUUGUUUAUGAGCUUCCUCCAACCUCCACCUACCUCCAUGCUGAUGCUGAACCUCACUAAGUGACGGUCCAGGAUAUUUUAAUUUGUAGCGUUUGCUUCAUGCAGAUCUUCAGCUCGGAGUCACAUGUUGGACAAUAGCGUGGAUGUUGCUCCUUCACCCACUGGACAUAAACGCAGCAUAAAAAGCGUGCCCUCGCUUUGGACGUGGUUUCAAUACAACAAGCCAACAAGCCAAGCAAAUGAGGGGACGCCCACAGGUUUAUGAUCAUGCAGACGAGUGAUAAGAGCCACAGACCUGCUGCAUUUUAUCAAGCUGCGAGGCUCAACUGUGGGAAUAAAAGAUGGUCAGAGCUGCAGCUGAGGUGGUCGAAGAACGACCUCUGCAUCAAAAACACCAAAAAGAAGAAAGAAUUUGUCCUGUUACUUAAAGCACUCAUAUGUUUUUUACAGAACACGUAAGGUCAAUGGGUUCAUGACCAUGGAAAUUAACUGGCUCCGCCCCCUGAGUGAUGUAGCAGAGUGGCCGUCCAAUCAGGGGCCGUCUUGCAUUGAUGCCAGAAGCUUCUGUGAGUCCACCUAAAAAGCCUUCACGUACUAUUUUCUACGUUUACUACAAACUGAGAAUGGAACUUUCACGGAGCACAAGCAGAAGCUGUUUGUGUGUGUGGCUGCUGUGGCCUGAGGUCUCACACGCGGACGCUCCUCCUGUGGCCCUGACUUUUUAUUGGUGAUACUUUGUUUGAGGGUUGUUUCUGUUUGUUCUGGAUCACAGAUGGACUCAUGUAUUGAGAGUAAAUGGUUUAAUUUGUGGCUUAUUGGUCGUAUAUGGACAUGUUUGUUUAAUGUUUGCUGUGACUGAACCGGGUCAGUACAUUAGUUUAUUUACAUUCGCUGACACCUGAAUGUUAGUGUGUCACCACGUCCUGUUGAUCAGGUUAAAGCUUGAUGGAGGGUGAUGAGUUCACUGCAGAUUUAUCUGUUAAUAUUAUGUGUUUUUUUAUUUUGUGAAAUACCCAAACUUAAACAAAGUUAAUGUCAAUGAAUCUUAAACCAUUAAAAACAAAAAAAUUCAGAAUUCCGA